CAGCCGCCGCGGUAACACCAGCCCCUCGAGUGGUGGGGACUAUUAUUUGGCCUAAGCGUCCGUAGCCGGCUGCAGCCGUCACCCGUUAAAUCCAGCGUCUCAAGCGUUGGACUGCGGGUGAUACCCUGCAGCUUGAGGGUGGGACAGGUUAGCGGUAUUCCCGGGGUAGGGGCGAAAUCCUUUGAUCCCGGGAGGACCACCAGUGGCGAAGGCUGCUGACUAGAACACGCCUGACGGUCAGGGACGAAAGCUGGGGUAGCGAACCGGAUUAGAUACCCGGGUAGUCCCAGCUGUAAACGAUGCACGCUAGGUGUUGGGUCGGCCACGCGCCGCCCCAGUGCCGCAGGGAAGCCGUUAAGCGUGCCGCCUGGGGAGUACGGCCGCAAGGCUGAGACUUAAAGGAAUUGGCGGGGGAGCAC
rnacentral:rRNA from 1 species